UAGGUAGUCGCUCUUGGGUAACUCGGUGUCAAAGGCUGUCAGCGACUCAGUGUGACUGCCUGGA
rnacentral:pre_miRNA from 1 species